rnacentral:rRNA from 1 species
GACGAACGCUGGCGGCGUGCCUAAUACAUGCCAGUCGAGCGAAGUUUUUCUGGUGCUUGCACUAGAAAAACUUAGCGGCGAACGGGUGAGUAACACGUAAAGAACCUGCCUCAUAGACUGGGACAACUAUUGGAAACGAUAGCUAAUACCGGAUAACAGUAUUUCUCGCAUGAGAGAUAUUUAAAAGUUGGUUAUGCUAACACUAUGAGAUGGCUUUGCGGUGCAUUAGCUAGUUGGUGGGGUAAAGGCCCACCAAGGCGACGAUGCAUAGCCGACCUGAGAGGGUGAUCGGCCACACUGGGACUGAGACACGGCCCAGACUCCUACGGGAGGCAGCAGUAGGGAAUCUUCCGCAAUGGGCGAAAGCCUGACGGAGCAACGCCGCGUGAGUGAAGAAGGAUUUCGGUUCGUAAAGCUCUGUUGUUAGGGAAGAAUGGAUAUGUAGUAACUAUACAUGUAAGAGACGGUACCUAACCAGAAAGCCACGGCUAACUACGUG